CUGGGCUGUGGUGGUGCCCAUUCCGCUAUCUGGGUACCGCGGGAUGCGACCGCGAGGAGAUGAUGUACAAAACAAUUAUCAAGCAUUUGCUGACUUCUGUUGUAUGAAUACUCCCAGAUUUCAAACCACCAAUGGAUACCACUGAAUGAACAGGUAGGAAGAGGGGACACGGUUCAAUCCCUGGUCAGGGAAGAUCCCACAUGCCGCAGAGCAACUAAGCCCAUGAGCCACAACUGCUGAGCCCACGUGCUGCAACUACUGAAGCCUGUGGGCCCAGAGCCCAAGCUCUGCAACAAGAGAAGCCACCGCAAUGAGAAGCCCAGGCACCGCAACGAAGAGUAGCCCCCACUCGCCACAACUAGAGAAAGUGCAUGCAUAGCAAUGAAGAUCCAACGCAGCGCG